ensembl:lncRNA
CAUAACUCACGUGCCUACUUCCUAGGCUGCGGUGCAAAUGAGAUGAGGUUAUAUUCUUAAAGCCUCGAGUGCAGUAGCUGGUGUUAGUCUGAAAAGAUGGUGGUUUCCACUUGAGUGGCUGGGAAAAUGGCAGUGGUCCCACUUACACAAACAGGGAGGACAAAAGGCAGGGACAGGCUCGGGCAGGGGACAGAUAGGAGAGACAAGAACUUUGGAGCUGACUUCAGAGGCAGGAUCUGAGAAUAGAACCCAAGGGUCCCUGCCUCCUGAAGACACCAACCAUUCCUUUUCCCAGCAGCACCCCUAGGAUCACCUGUCCUGCUUCCUCCAGAUAACCGGUCGUUUGCAGGGAGCCUGUUUCACUCAUGCUCCAAAACUCAUCUUGGUCACCCUCUUUUAUGAGGACAGUCUCGAUCCCUAUCCCUCUACCCCAGCCUUCGCCCAAGACUCUAUGCCCCUCCUCUCGCUGGCCAAUCUCCAGGACACAGCUCCUGCAAGGCAUCUGUGGACUUUAUUUCUGAUCCCUAGGCUAGCACGAGACUGAACGUUUCUCAAUGAAGCAACGAAUGAAACGAGUUCACGAAUGACCGCGUGGGAGACGGAGCCAAUGACAGAGUCAGCAGCCCCGGCAGCCCCCACAUGGCCCACACCCGCGCCACUCCUGCCUCUGCCUUCUCUCCAUGUACAGCCCAGUCCACACCCUACAAGGGAGGGAACCUGGGAGACAGAGGGAGGCUCCAUCACUGCUCUGCCCAUCACCCCCAGCAGAGAGGCCCCGGUCAACGUGCAGCUCCGUUGGGCACUGAGUCACUGGAACCCUGCCAUCUGCACCCUACCUCUUGUUACAACCUCAGCAGAGGGGAGACCUGACAGUUUGCGGGGCUACCUGCAGGUGAUUCGGGCUGCCCCUCCCUGAUGGCUGCACAUCGGGACACCCCCGACCCACCACCACCCGGUUUAGCAGAGCAGAGGAGCUUGGCCUCUGAGCUCAACUGGGCCUGAGUCUGAAUCCAAGCUCCACCACUGGCUUCAGCAAGCCUGGACCUCCCUGGGCCUCAGUUUCCCCCUCUAUAUAAUGGGGUAAGCUAGUACUGACUUCCUUGAGUUGUUGUGAGUGGGAAGUGAGAUGCCUGCUCCCCACGCAUGAUCCACGGGAAUGCGCCCGGGGCCAGCAGAAUAACGGCCCCCCAAAGAUGUCCAUGCUCGAAUCUCCAGAACCUGUGAAUAUGGCGCCUUGUGUGGGAAGGGGGAUCCAGGUUGCGGAUGGAAUGAAGGUUGCUGAUCCACUGACCUUGAGAUGAGAUGGAGAGACUAUCUGGGUGGCCUAGUGUCAUCACAAGGGGAAUGUAAGUGGAAGAAGGAGGCAGGAGAGUCUGUGUCAGAAUGAUGUGGUGUGAGCAACUCGACUGUUGUUGCUGGCUUUGAACGUGGAAGGGGUCUAUGGCCGAAGAAUGUGGCAGCCUCUAGAGACUGGGAAAGGCACAGAGAUCAGUUGUCCCCUGGAGCCUGCAGGAAGGAACACGGCCCUGCUCACACCUUGACUUCAGUUGGAGUGACACUCAUUUCAUACUUCUCACCCCCAGAACUGUAGGGUAAUAAAUGUGUGUUGUUUUAAAACACUAAGCCUGUGGUCACUGUUAGAGCAAUGGUAAGAGAUGGACGAUCACUACUAUCACCUCUGAAUAGUCACUCAAGGAAAACACGUUGAUUA